GGCCUAACACAUGCAAGUCGAACGGUAACAGGAAGCAGCUUGCUGCUUCGCUGACGAGUGGCGGACGGGUGAGUAAUGUCUGGGAAACUGCCUGAUGGAGGGGGAUAACUACUGGAAACGGUAGCUAAUACCGCAUAACGUCGCAAGACCAAAGAGGGGGACCUUCGGGCCUCUUGCCAUCGGAUGUGCCCAGAUGGGAUUAGCUAGUAGGUGGGGUAACGGCUCACCUAGGCGACGAUCCCUAGCUKGUCUGAGAGGAUGACCAGCCACACUGGAACUGAGACACGGUCCAGACUCCUACGGGAGGCAGCAGUGGGGAAUAUUGCACAAUGGGCGCAAGCCUGAUGCAGCCAUGCCGCGUGUAUGAAGAAGGCCUUCGGGUUGUAAAGUACUUUCAGCGGGGAGGAAGGCGAUAAGGUUAAUAACCUUGUCGAUUGACGUUACCCGCAGAAGAAGCACCGGCUAACUCCGUGCCAGCAGCCGCGGUAAUACGGAGGGUGCAAGCGUUAAUCGGAAUUACUGGGCGUAAAGCGCACGCAGGCGGUCUGUCAAGUCGGAUGUGAAAUCCCCGGGCUCAACCUGGGAACUGCAUUCGAAACUGGCAGGCUAGAGUCUUGUAGAGGGGGGUAGAAUUCCAGGUGUAGCGGUGAAAUGCGUAGAGAUCUGGAGGAAUACCGGUGGCGAAGGCGGCCCCCUGGACAAAGACUGACGCUUCAGGUGCGAAAG
rnacentral:rRNA from 1 species